GUUGAACGCUGGCGGCAGGCCUAACACAUGCAAGUCGAGCGGAUGAAGGGAGCUUGCUCCUGGAUUCAGCGGCUGACGGGUGAGUAAUUCCUAGGAAUCUGCCUGGUAGUGGGGGAUAACGUCCGUAAACGGGCGCUAAUACCGCAUACGUCCUGAGGGUGAACGUGGGGGAUCUUCGGACCUCACGCUAUCAGAUGAGCCUAGGUCGGAUUAGCUAGUGGGUGGGGUAAAGGCCUACCAAGGCGACGAUCCGUAACUGGUCUGAGAGGAUGAUCAGUCACACUGGAACUGGGACACGGUCCAGACUCCUACGGGAGGCAGCAGUGGGGAAUAUUGGACAAUGGGCGAAAGCCUGAUCCAGCCAUGCCGCGUGUGUGAAGAAGGUCUUCGGAUUGUAAAGCACUUUAAGUUGGGAGGAAGGGCAGUAUGUUAAUACCUUGCUGUUUUGACGGUACCAACAGAAUAAGCACCGGCUAACUUCGUG
rnacentral:rRNA from 1 species